rnacentral:rRNA from 1 species
UACGUAGGGGGCAAGCGUUGUCCGGAUUUAUUGGGCGUAAAGAGCGUGUAGGCGGCUUUGCAAGUCCGUUGUGAAAACUCGAGGCUCAACCUCGAGACGCCGGUGGAAACUGCAAAGCUAGAGUCCGGAAGAGGAGAGUGGAAUUCCGUGGUGUAGCGGUGAAAUGCGUAGAUAUCAGGAGGAACACCGGUGGUGUAGACGGCUCUCUGGACCGUAACUGACGCUGAGACACGAAAGCGUGGGUAGCAAACAGG